rnacentral:rRNA from 1 species
GAUGAACGCUGGCGGCGUGCCUAAUACAUGCAAGUCGAGCGAACAGACGAGGAGCUUGCUCCUCUGACGUUAGCGGCGGACGGGUGAGUAACACGUGGAUAACCUACCUAUCAGAGUGGGAUAACUUCGGGAAACCGGAGCUAAUACCGGAUAAUAUAUUGAACCGCAGGGUUCAAUAGUGAAAGACGGUUUUGCUGUCACUUAUAGAUGGAUCCGCGCCGCAUUAGCUGGUUGGUCAGGUAACGGCUUACCAAGGCAACGAUGCGUAGCCGACCUGAGGGGCGGAUCGGCCACACGGGAACGUAGACACCGACCAGACUCCUAAGGGACGCACCAGUAGGGAACCUGCCGCAAUGGGCGAAAACAUGACGGAGCAACGCCGCGUGAGAUAUGAAGGUCCUCCGAUCGUAAAACCCUGUUAUUAGGUAAGAACAACUGUGUAAGUAACUAUGCACGUCUUGACGGUACCUAAUAAGAAAGCCCCGGCUAACUACGUG